GACAGAGGGUGCAAACGUUGUUCGGAUUUACUGGGCGUAAAGCGCGAGUAGGCGGCUUGGCAAGUCGGAUGUGAAAGCCCACGGCUCAACCGUGGAAGCGCAUCCGAAACUGCUUCGCUCGAGUCUCGGAGAGGAAGGUGGAAUGCUUGGUGUAGAGGUGAAAUUCGUAGAUAUCAAGCAGAACACCUGCGGCGAAGGCGGCCUUCUGGACGAUGACUGACGCUGAGACGCGAAAGCGUGGGGAGCAAACAGG
rnacentral:rRNA from 1 species